rnacentral:tRNA from 1 species
ACGGCUUUAUGUUAAUUGGUAAACAACUCGUCUUCCAAACGAUUAUUGCCGAUUCGAAUUCGGCUGGCCGUA